rnacentral:rRNA from 1 species
AACACGUAGGCAACCUGCCCUUUAGCCUGGGAUAACUACCGGAAACGGUAGCUAAUACCGGAUACUUUCUUUUUCUGCAUGGGAGAAGAACGAAAGACGGAGCAAUCUGUCACUGAAGGAUGGGCCUGCGGCGCAUUAGCUAGUUGGUGGGGUAACGGCUCACCAAGGCGACGAUGCGUAGCCGACCUGAGAGGGUGAUCGGCCACACUGGGACUGAGACACGGCCCAGACUCCUACGGGAGGCAGCAGUAGGGAAUCUUCCGCAAUGGGCGAAAGCCUGACGGAGCAACGCCGCGUGAGUGAUGAAGGUUUUCGGAUCGUAAAGCUCUGUUGCCAGGGAAGAACGUCUUGGAGAGUAACUGCUCUGAGAGUGACGGUACCUGAGAAGAAAGCCCCGGCUAACUACGUGCCAGCAGCCGCGGUAAUACGUAGGGGGCAAGCGUUGUCCGGAAUUAUUGGGCGUAAAGCGCGCGCAGGCGGCCGUUUAAGUCCGGUGUUUAAUCCCGAAGCUCAACUUCGGGUCGCACUGGAAACUGGAGGGCUUGAGUGCAGAAGAGGAGAGUGGAAUUCCACGUGUA